UGCAUCAGCCGGGAAUCGAACCCGGGCCGCCCGUGUGGCAGGCGAGCAUUCUAAAUACCAAAAAUACUAAUCAAAAUGUAGC